UACAGAGGGUGCAAGCGUUGUUCGGAAUUAUUGGGCGUAAAGGGCGCGUAGGCGGUGCUGUAAGUCUGUAGUGAAAUCUCUGGGCUCAACUCAGAGUCUGCUAUAGAAACUGCAGUGCUGGAGUGUGGGAGAGGUGAGUGGAAUUCCCGGUGUAGCGGUGAAAUUCGUAGAUAUCGGGAGGAACACCGGUGGCGAAGGCGGCGAUCUGGGUCGAUACUGACGCUGAGGUGGCGAAAGCGUGGGGAGCAAACAGG
rnacentral:rRNA from 1 species